rnacentral:misc_RNA from 1 species
GAUGAAGAACGUAGCGAAAUGCGAUACGUAAUGUGAAUUGCAAAUUCAGUGAAUCAUCGAGUCUUUGAACGCACAUUGCGCCCCCUGGUAUUCCGGGGGGCAUGCCUGUCCGAGCGUCAUUGCUGCCCUCAAGCACGACUUGUGUGUUGGGCCCCGUCCUCCGAUCCCGGGGGACGGGCCCGAAAGGCAGCGGCGGCACCGCGUCCGGUCCUCGAGCGUAUGGGGCUUUGUCACCCGCUCUGUAGGCCCGGCCGGCGCUUGCCGAUCAACCCAAAUUUUUAUCCAGGUUGACCUCGGAUCAGGUAGGGAUACCCGCUGAACUUAAGCAUAUCAAUAAGCGGAGGA